rnacentral:rRNA from 2 species
UGCAGUCGAACGAUGAAGCCCAGCUUGCUGGGUGGAUUAGUGGCGAACGGGUGAGUAACACGUGAGUAACCUGCCCUUGACUCUAGGAUAAGCCCGGGAAACUGGGUCUAAUACUGGAUAGGAACGUCUACCGCAUGGUGGAUGUUGGAAAGAAUUUCGGUCAUGGAUGGACUCGCGGCCUAUCAGCUUGUUGGUGAGGUAAUGGCUCACCAAGGCGACGACGGGUAGCCGGCCUGAGAGGGUGACCGGCCACACUGGGACUGAGACACGGCCCAGACUCCUACGGGAGGCAGCAGUGGGGAAUAUUGCACAAUGGGCGAAAGCCUGAUGCAGCGACGCCGCGUGAGGGAUGACGGCCUUCGGGUUGUAAACCUCUUUCAGUAGGGAAGAAGCGAAAGUGACGGUACCUGCAGAAGAAGCACCGGCUAACUACGUGCCAGCAGCCGCGGUAAUACGUAGGGUGCGAGCGUUAUCCGGAAUUAUUGGGCGUAAAGAGCUCGUAGGCGGUUUGUCGCGUCUGUCGUGAAAGUCCGGGGCUUAACCCCGGAUCUGCGGUGGGUACGGGCAGACUAGAGUGCAGUAGGGGAGACUGGAAUUCCUGGUGUAGCGGUGGAAUGCGCAGAUAUCAGGAGGAACACCGAUGGCGAAGGCAGGUCUCUGGGCUGUAACUGACGCUGAGGAGCGAAAGCAUGGGGAGCGAACAGGAUUAGAUACCCUGGUAGUCCAUGCCGUAAACGUUGGGCACUAGGUGUG